CGUGAGAGUGAUGAGUUGCACUGAUCACUUGGGAUGUUUGAUGCAGUGGCAUCAUCGCCCCAAUCCGAUCCAUGCUGCGGACACACCAUGUGCACAGGGGCCAUCUGACUCCAC
ensembl:snoRNA small nucleolar RNA SNORD67